GAACUGUAAUGGAUUACUCGAUAAAUCGUCGUCCUUUUAACUUACUCUGGAGUUCAAUCGCCGGAUUGUAUAACUUACAACUUCUUUUUCGUUGGAUGUAUCAAUUUGGCCAAAUGAAACUCUCUGCAACAUUUGCUGAGAUCUGCGGUUACUUAACCAAUAGAUGGCUUGCAUGUGACUUACUUUUGACCUAUGGAUAAUCGACUCCGUCCCUAGACAAGCGGGACUAUGUAACUGGAACGGACCCGGAUUAAUAUUCGGCCAAGGAUGUCAAACUGGCAGCAAGCGACAAUCCCUGAAGAUUACUUCAGAGAAAUUUUCUGCCGCUACAACAAAAUAAGCAUAAUCGAUUAAUAAUUGUCAUAUCAUUUUAUAAUAUCGAUAUUCGGACAAAAGAUUUGUGCUAUAUGUACUACAAAGCUAACAGUAGUUUUUGGGUAAUUGCUGUAAGUUAGUGUGUGUAUAUUAAAGGAAAGUUUUAGGGCUACCCGUAAAUAGUAUUAAUUAUGGAUCGGUGCAAAGGUGUUAACAUUUCCAGAGGACAGAAGAAAUCAUCUGGACCGAUGGGAAAUGAAUUUUUCGCUUUAGGCGCGAAAAGCAGUCGUGAGGAUACUAAAAAGAUAUCUUCCUGUAAAGGAAACACCAUGGCUUCUGAUCGUAAGCGUGAAGCUACUUCUGCCGUUUCGAACGCAAGCAAAAAGGCAAAAAUGAUACGUUUUGAAGAAUCUUCGGGAUUUACAAUACACGAAUCGUGGGAUCAAUUUGCAAUUGAAUGUGAAACUACGAAUUUGAUUAAUGCAAUAAAGGAAAAUUUAGAUCAGUUUGAUGAUAAUUUUUUACGUAUUAUAUGUGGAUUAAUAAAACAACUUAUGGAGCCAUAUACUAGAAAUAAAGCUGAUUACGUGCUUUAUUACAGUUUAUUCUACUUGGCAAAACUAAAACCACAUAUUUUUAGAAAAGAUAUUCUUAGUUCAGCUCUGCUCUAUAUAUUACGUAGAGAUGUAAAUAUUAAAAUAAAGCAAAGUUCCAAUUCUCAAGCAAUUGCAUCUAAUUUACUAACCAAAGGAUUCUAUGAUAGAAACAACUGGCCCGAACAUUUAAUUCGUAUUUAUAUAGAAGAUGCGAUCAAUGAACGAACAUGGGCAGAUAAUGAUUUUUGUAUGCCAUAUAUAAAAAAUAUCUGUUUUGUUUUUAACACGAAAAUUCCCCCAAACAACGCAAUGCAGCUUGAAACUCCAGCGUUCGGAGGGUCUGUGGGGCAACAUCGAGAAAUGCAGUUAUGUUUAGAGGAUGAUUCAGGUGAUGGAAGUUCAAACACUAUUGAGUCUAUUGGAUUUGGAAUCGAUACAGAUACCCCUUAUUUAAUUUUCAAUCGUUUCUCAGAUAUUGAAAAUGCAGUGGAAAAAAUGGUGGUAGACGCAAUAAAAGAACAGCUAAAUAAAAGACAGCAAACCGAUUGGUAUACAAGAAACUUUUUAAAGUUUUUAUGUUCCACAGCUGGUUUAGGCGAAGUUCGUUAUCUUUGUAUAACUCGACUUGAACUGUGGAUCCAUAAUGGAAAACUUGUAAAAUAUGCCCAGCAGCUUUUGUACUAUAUAUGUUAUAAUAUUAAAGAAAAUCAUACAAAGGACCACGAAGUAUUGGCAAUACUUGUCAAAAUAAGAUUAAAAACUAAGCCCUCUCUAAAUUUUUUUAUGUUUUGUAUUAAAGAAAUGAUAACACAGCAACCUAACGUGCUUAGAUUAAUAUUAAAGCUAGUGGUACAGAAUGAACUGUCAAAUACAAGAAAUCCAAAUAACAUGGGAAUGCUUGCUACAAUGUUUCAAACAUCCCCGGAGCAGUCUUCCCAUUAUCUUGCCGAAAUUUAUAAAGAAUUUUUAUUACAACGCGAAGAUUGUUUACGUACGUUAAGAGUCUUUUUGCGUGAAUUGGUGCGUGUGCUUCGUUAUGAUAUGAAUAUUGUAAAGUUCUGCAAAUCAUUUAUGAAUACAAGAAUUGAUUUAAUGGAACAAGUUGAGCAUUCGGAAUUCAAAGAGAGAAUUUUCCAUUCCAUGGUUGAUAUUAUUUGCCUUUGCAUGUUGUUAUCGGUUUCUCCGCAAAUCCGGGAAGCUUGCAUUUUAUUACGCUCUAACAAAGAUAUAAAAAAUAAUCCAUUAUUACUGAACUUUUACACCCAAAUGUCUCAAAUUCAAUUAGAAGCCGUUUCUUGGAUGUACGAAACGGUUCCAAACCUUUUCAAGAUACAAAGUUUGGAAUAUAGCCAAGCCCUCCACAAACUUUUACUUUUGGACAGUCCCGAGCAAUAUUCACGAUGUGAUCAAUGGCCAUCAGAACCAGAGAGAGGAACACUCUUAAGGAUUGUUUCGGAAACUCCAGUUCUGGAAGAUACACUUCUGCGAAUUAUACUUAUAGGCAUUACUAAAGAUAUUCCUUUGACAAUACCGGAAACUAUAGAUAUCAUAAUGAUGGUUAUUAAGAGAGCUUCAUCAAUGAGAAUUCUUAAUUAUCCAGCAGUGCAAGCCAAUAAGUAUGAUGUCAUCGACUUUCUUUUCAACAUGGUGGAAUAUAACUAUCCCGAAAAUAUAAAUUUACCAUUGGAUUACGUUCCACCAAAGCUAGCUAUUACAAUUUUAUAUUGGAAGGCAUGGAUUAUAAUGCUUAUGAUCUCUGCUCAUAAUCCCUCUACUUUCGGAGCAUUUUGUUGGAAACAUUAUCCUACUAUGAAGGCUUUAAUUGAGAUGUGUAUCACGAACCAGUUUGGUGAACAGAAUCCUGCAAAAGAGGAACUUCAGUUAGUUUCUUUGGAAAAAGCCCAAAUACUUCAGUUGGAAUCGUAUUUGGCUGCACAAACUUCACAAGCUAUUAUUACUGAGGAUAAUGCGAUAUUAAUAUCACAGUUAAUGCUAAUGGACCCAAUGGGACCGGUUCGCAGAGUUCCUAAUAAUGUUUUGGAACAGGUGAAAGGACUAAAUAAAAGCUUAAAAUUGGGAUACCUACUAUGUCGCUGCCGUAGGCCCGAUUUACUGCUUGAUAUAAUUCAACGACAAGGUACAACGAAGUCUAUGCCAUGGCUUUCAGAUCUGGUACAGAGCAGUGAAGGUGAUUUCAGUCAUCUUCCGGUGCAAUGUUUAUGUGAGUUCCUGUUAUUUAAUACCAAUGCAAUUAAUGAAGAAAAUACUCGGGAUGGAGAAUUGGUUUGUUAUUUGAGGAAUCUCGUCAUGGAAGAGCAAUGUCAGAAAAGAACUGUCUGCGAAGUUUUAGAUUACAUUUUUCGAAGAUUGUCAUCAACAGUUAAGCAAUCGCGCAACGCUGCAAUAUGCGGGUUAAAAAUAAUUUUUAAAGAUAACACCGAUCUAAAUGAAUGGUUAUUAAAGUCAAUAUCACAUAUUCCAUGCUUUAAAGAGGCGCUAUCUUUUAUAAUACCACAACUAAGAUCUGCAUGUCAGGUUGAAAAUUCACCCCUGUUAGUAAUGUCUUAUAUCCAGUUUGUAGCUGCACAUACUAUUAACGAUGGAGUUAUCGAUAUGCUCGAUCACGUCAUUGACAUGGCACAAUUAAUUGUGGAACGGAGUACUAUGUUUCAGCACAUUAUACCAGCGAAUGGGGAUCUAUUACUGGGAUAUGACGACUGCAAUUUGGCUGAGUGUCAGUUUCAAACUUUGAAAUGCCUCUUUGUUAUGUUCAAUAAUUAUAUUAUACGUUUAAGAGAACACAGAGAGCCUUAUGAAUGGACUGAAUACCCAGACUUACUUAUGGUCCAAUUCGAGGAUGGAGCACAAUUGCCCCUUCAUUUAAACAUUAUUCACGCCUUUAUAAUUUUAUUAACACAAUCUAGUAGUCAAAUGCCUGAAUCGCUUCCAAUUCUGGAUUACUGGUUUCCUCCAGGUCGAAGGCCGCCAUCUGGCUUCUUACCGAAUAUGCCACAUGAAGCAGUGCAACUGUUACCUGAUUGGCUAAAAUUGAAAAUGAUUCGCUCUUCAGUGGACCGCUUGAUUGAAGCGGCUCUCUUAGAUCUUACUCCAGAUCAAAUUGUUCUGUUUGUGCAAAAUUUCGGAACACCCGUGAUCUCCAUGUCAAAGUUAUUAGCCUUAUUGGACCAUGCUGUGAAUGAGGAAGUGGAACUAGUUAAAAGUGCAAUACUUAACAAAGCUUAUUUAGCUCAAUUGAUUGAAAUUCAACAAAAACGGGGAGCAAAAAAUGGCCAUUUUACUGUAAAAGCUCUUGAAUUAUACUCUCAUUCGCAAACUGUCCCAGAUAAUCCAAAACAAACUGAUGUAGCUUUAGGCCUCUUAUGCUUUGAGAAAAGCUUCCAACCUCUAGCACCUACAUCUCCUUAUCGAGUAAAUAAAGACAUUGAAGACAUAAUGUCGGAUAUAUUAAAAACUUCGCGUUACCAUUAUCUAAGUUGUAGUCGAUUUCGUAGGUUAAUUAAUCAUUUCCUUGAUAGAGAUUUCUUCUUAACCAAAACUCGUAGGGAACUUAUUACCAGUCACAUUAAAAAAGGUUGGAUAUGCUUAUUGCGAAUUAUUGACAGAUACAAGCGUUCAAUUUCUGAACAAACAACAUCGCAAAUAAAACAUACGUGCACAUUUUUAAGAGUACUUCUAAAACAAAAAUUUUUAACUCCGAAUGAGUUCGGUGUUGUAUUUGAUAAACUGACUGAAUGUGAACCUUUAUGGGAAGUAGAAAUUAAUUUAAAGAGAAACAUUUAUGUGUAUAUACAAAGUUUGUUCAAAAUAAUAAAACGGAAAGAGAAUACAUUUUUUGAAAUGUCUUCAAAAUCUUUUGGAAGUAUAGCACGUAACCAGACCUUAGAUGACAUUGAAAUGUUAUUUGGUUUGCAAAAGGAGAAAAUAUCGGAAGAAGUGGAAUUUUUGUGUCAUUGUGGUUUAAUUGUCGACCGCUUAUGUGAAAUAGAUCCAGAGUUCACAAACUUACGUAAGCAGAAUCAGAUUGGCCUUCUAUUUACAAAAAACUGUGCAGAUUUUCGGUUCCAUAUACUUUCUUUAAUAUGUCAUCAAAUGAGUUGGGGAACUGUAUUAUUUACUUUAAAAUUGUUAAUGCAAGAAAUCCAACAAAAUAUUGAUUCUAGUACCGCUCUUAAUUUCGUUGAAGCGCUUAUUAAUAAUCCAAAACUUUGGCAAGGUCGAGACAAAACUAUAUCUAAAACUAAUUUUCCGGAUAUAAUGUUUUUAUUAGACAAAACUGAGAUGAAUUCUUUACUUAGUCUUAUUAUAAAUGAAGCCGAUUCAAACUUCCAUUCUAUUUUAGAAGCUCACGAUUAUAAAAUUUGCUCACGCAUCAGCCUCCUAUUUAGGGUAAUAAGAAGGAACCAUAAAGAUAUUUCCAAAUUAAUAGAAUAUAUGGCCAGGAAAUCGUGCUCCCAUUUGUUGAAGAUAAAGAUUAUACACCAAAUGUAUCUUUUACAUCCUUCCAUUCGCUUUACGACAAACAAUUUAAAGGAACAUGAAACAAAAAUAGCCGCUUUAAGAGGUUGCAAAGCUGAUAAAGUAUCAAACUAUCUAAUUACUUGUCUAGGAAAUCUUUUCCUUAGGAAAGAUUUCGAAACACUUUCUAGUGAUAUAGAAAUGUUAAUACGAAAAUUUGCUGCAUCGCACCCUAUUUUAUUUUUACGCCAACUAGGUGUUUUGUCGUCUCUAAUACAAGGUAGGGCUCAAUUAGGUGUUCGCUUAUUGCGCGACGAAUAUCACUUUCAUCGUUUUAUUCAAAUAUUACGAGCACUUCAACUAUUGCAACCAAUGUUAUUUGACGACAGUUAUAAAUCUGAAUUUCAAGCAGCAUUGGAGUGUUAUUUUGCAUUUUUUAAGCAUCACAGCUUUAUUAAAGAGUCAUAUCACAUAUUGAUAAAAUUUGUUGAACUAUUACAAGCAUAUAUUAAUUCCAAUCCAUCUAGCGCGCUGCUAUAUAUAGAAAAGUAUGUUGGAAUUUUAAUGGAAUUGUCAGUGAAAUUUAAUUCCAUAACGUCAUUGCAUCAACUUGUACAAGGUAUAGCUCUUUUACGGCAAAAAAGUAUCUCAAUAAAUGAGCUAAACGAUGACGAAAAUAAGCACGAUUUUGAAUUAGAAGAACAUGGAAAUAAUAAUAGCUUUAUUUCAACAGAUUGUGAAGCAUCGGAACCUACUUCUACAAAUUUGUUUGAAUCUAAUAACAAAGGAGGAGUUCAAUUUUCCGUUUCUACCCCAUUUACUAAACCACUUACAUUGUCUCAACAUUUUACUGAUCUUAUAACCAUAAUUAAAAACUCUAGUACGGAGGAAACUAUUUUAGGACCUUUACAGGAAAUAGAAAGUCUUACAUCUAAACGUUUCUCAUAUUUAAACGAGGUCUUUGAUCGAUUACUGGAGCUAAUAUUUUCUCCAAGUGCACAGAUACGCUCUAAUGCCUUUAUACUUUUAGUUCGCCAUUUAAAACAUAGCCCAGGUCGUUCUGACAUUAAUCGAUGCACCUUUAAUGCCUACAUUCAAUGUUUGAGGGAUGAUAAUUCAUCUGUUGCCACAACCGCUGUAGACAACUUGGUUGAAAUGACUCUCCUAUUGCAAGAGCAUACAGUUGAAAUACUUUCUGUGGCUUUUAUUUUGGGAGUUAAAUCACAAUUAAAUACCAGUACACAAAUAAAACGGGUUUUACAAACACUAAUGUUACAACAUGGAUACUAAUUUCAGGCUUUCUACUAAAUGAAUACAUUUUUACAAAUUGAAAUAAAAGAGAUUCAUAAAUAAAUCUGUUUUUUUUUACCAAAUUUUAAUUAAGGAGGGGGUGAUAAUAUGCUAUAUAAAAACUGCACUAUGAAUUGAGAUGGAACAUUUGAUACAAUAUAAAUUUGUACUUAAAAAGUUAUUUGGUUGCUUUUCCAUAAAUUUAACACAAUAUCUUAAAAUAAACUUAUACUGAAAUAUCAAUUAAUUAAAAACCUUACAUCAUAUGAAUAAAUAAUAAAAUUUUUUCUUGAUUGAAUUCUUGUCAAUAAUUUCAAAUUGUAGGACAUACAUUUUUAAAUUUAUGUCAAUAUAUAAUUCGUCUAAAUAAAUAUCGAAUUUGAAGUUGUUUUAAUCUAAAACUGAACAUUUUGUAGAUUGAUAAGGGGAUUCGCAUUCAUUCUAGGAGGUAUUUUUUAAUGAAAAUGUGGUUACUUCUGAAGAUCAAAUUGUUGAUGAAUUGCUCCAAUUUGUUUGGUGCAAAUUGAAAGGAAACUCUUUUAUUCUGGAGGGUCUGAAGUACAGAAUCGCAGAAUUGAGUUUAUGUUAUAAACAGGAGGGUCCCCCAUGCGGUGGUGAAUCGCGGUUUCAAAA